rnacentral:lncRNA from 1 species
AAAAAAAAAAAAAGCAAUGGAAUCUUGAAAUUCACAGGCAAAUGGAUGGAACUAGAAGAAACCAUUCUGAGUGAGAGCCCUCAUCCAGUGGCUGAUGGAAGCAGAGACAGACAUCCACAGAUAUCACUCAGCUGAAAUCUGGUACUUUGUUGAAGAGAGGGAGAAAUGAAGAUUGAAGGGGAAAAAUAGACAUACUUCAGGCUUCAUGAAUGGGGUGACCUACGUGGAACUGCAAGCACAAAUUAUUUCACUAGACAUUUUGCUGUAAUGUUUCAGUGCUAACCAAAGUCAUCCUUCUGUGGUCAGUUAGCAAUUCUACUGCUGACUUUCAGGCUCAGAAUGCAGGUUGGAUAUUGUCCUCUCAAGGUCUGUGAAAAAUUGUGCUGGGAUUUUGAUGGGGACUGCAUUGAAUCUGUAGGUUGCUUUUGAGCCUUCAUGCAGCAGCUGAUGGAAGUAGAAGCAGAUACCAACAGUUAAACACAGAAAUGAACUGGAAUCUUGUUGCAGAGAAGGAGGAGUGAUGAGAAAAGUGGACAAGACCAGGCUGGUGAAACCCACAGAAAGAGCUGACCUGAACAACAGGGACCUCUUGGCCUCCAGACAGAUAGCUGGAAAACCAGUAUGGAACUUAUCCAGACCCCAUGAAUAUGGGUGUCAUGGAGGAGACUUUGGAAAUCUGUGGGGCCUCUUGUAGUAGAUCAGUACUUAUCCCUAGCAUAGAAAUGAACUUUGGUAGCCAUUUCACAUAGAGGGAUACUCCCUCAGCCUAGAACCACAGGGAUGGCCUAGGCCCUAUCCCAAAGGAUAUUACAGACUCUGAAGACCCCCUUGGCAGUCCUCACUCUCCCUGGGGUGCAGAAAUGGUAUGGAAUAGGUAGGGUGCCAGUGGGAGACAGGGGAGGAGAGAAGGGAAAGGGAACUGGGUUUGACAUGUAAAACAAUCUUUUUCUAAUUUAAAUAAAUAAUGGAGGAAAAUAUUAAAUGAUGAUUUUGAGGAACAAAGUGAUUAAGAGCUCAUGAUCACACAGGAUAAUAGAGUCUUAAAACCAUGAAGCCUAAUUGUUGCAUAACUACCCUGUCUUUCUUUUGGUUUGUGAAACUAAGGCUCAUUUAAAGGAAUGAAUACCACAUUAUUCAAUAACUACUAGCUUAUGUUUUUGACUGGAAAGAUAGUCACACUGCUUUUUUUUAAAAAAAAAAUCAUUUAUCAACACAAAUUACUUGAUUUACCUAAAAAUAUGCGGCCUGAUAUAGAAGUAGUGACUGUUCUCACAUAUUUUAUUUAUCUGGAUGUAUUUGCAAGUGUUACAACCUUCAUUGACUAGUGAUUACCAUGUAGGACAACACAGAUUCUUUACAGUUGUGAACAGUAGCAAUGACACAUGUCUAAUUCAAAGUGUGUCAUUGGAGAAAAUCCAGGGCAAGGGUUAGUUGGAUGUUACAAUUGCAGAUGUAAAACCUAGUGAGUAACAACCUUUGCUUUAAUGAAAUUCACAAGUUAUAAAAUACAGUAUUCA